UACGUAGGGUGCAAGCGUUGUCCGGAAUUAUUGGGCGUAAAGAGCUUGUAGGCGGUUUGUCGCGUCUGCUGUGAAAAUCCGGGGCUCAACCCCGGACUUGCAGUGGGUACGGGCAGACUAGAGUGUGGUAGGGGAGACUGGAAUUCCUGGUGUAGCGGUGGAAUGCGCAGAUAUCAGGAGGAACACCGGUGGCGAAGGCGGCCCACUGGUCCGGUACUGACGCUGAGGAGCGAAAGCGUGGGGAGCGAACAGG
rnacentral:rRNA from 1 species